AGCCCUGCCCGGAUCGUCGGCGCGGACACGGUCCGCGCCGCCGCGCCCCGCCGUCCUCGCGGUCUCGAAUCAACAACGUAUCCCCGGCGCGAUCAGCGUCAAGGAAAUUCCACAAGAUGCGCGUCCCCGUGGCCCGCCCGACGUUGCGGUGCGUCCACGGACGACGUCGCGAUCCUGAUAUUUGAACGACUCUCGGCAACGGAUAUCUCGGCUCUCGCAUCGAUGAAGAACGUAGCGAAAUGCGAUACUUGGUGUGAAUUGCAGAAUCCCGUGAACCAUCGAGUUUUUGAACGCAAGUUGCGCCCUAGGCCGUUAGGUCGAGGGCACGUCUGCCUGGGCGUCAAGCAUCGCGUCACCCGACUCCGUCGUCUCAACUCGAGAUCCCCCGGAGCCGCGUGGGUGGAGAUUGGCCCCCCGUGCGUCGCGCGCGGUCGGCCCAAAAACGAGCCCUCGACGGCCGGUGUCACGAUCAGUGGUGGUUGACGUGCCUCUUUCCGAAGAUGGAUGUCGUGCCCGCCGCGUCGUCGAACGGGCCAUCCGGACCUUGUCGGUGCUCACGGAGCACUCGUCCUGCGACCCCAGGUCAGGCGGGGCCACCCGCUGAGUUUAAGCAUAUCAAUAAGCGGAGGAGAAG
rnacentral:sRNA from 1 species